GGGAAUGGGAUGUGUGUGAUAGCCUGCCUUAGUUCAACUGCAGACAUGAAUGUCCUGGGAUAAGACUGAAACGUCCAGAGAAAGAGUACAAGAACCCAAGGUGAAUGGAAGCCUUUCAGGAAGACCUGGAACUAAACACUAGCAGAAUGAAAUUAUCAUUUACAUCACCAGUUUGCACCUGUUCAGUGAGGCAACAGAUCCCCUUGUUACACAUGUGUGUUAGAGGACUCCUUCAAAGGCUCAGUACAGUACGGAGAAGCCUCCCAGUAAGGGUGCCUAACUCCACCCAUUCCGGUUUAGCCACCAUAAAAGGCAGGCAUCCCUGGAAGUGUCUUCUUACAAGGCCAGAGAAAGCCACAAAAUGGAGCACCGAGUAGUGAUCUUUAUUUCUAAUUUAUGCAAAACCCCAGAGUGGCGAUAAGUGGGAAGAUGCAUGAAUAAAGGGGAUGACCUGAUCCCAAAAAUUCUUUGAGUUUGAGACUGUUGUUUCACCACCCAACCACAACCUGCCUUAUCAACUCCCUGUUACCCCAAC